ACUGUGAUGAUCUCAAAGCAUAAUUUCUUCCCAAAUCCAAUUUCCAUCUCCGUCAAAUCCACCCGUCAGCCGCAAACAGUGUGCCGCAAAGCAUACGAUACGCCCGCGGCGGCACCAUGGCACCAAAAGAAUUCGGUCCAGCAACCGCUGGAAUCACGGCAGUGGAUUCCAGAGACAAAUUCCAAAAUCACGGCAGAAAUACAGAUUCGCAGCAGCAGCAACCGCUGGCUGGCUGCAGCGGAGCAGCAGGGCAGGCGGAGGCGGGAAGCGCACGAUCGGGCUCGAGUUUCCCGCCUCCGCCUUCGACCCCGGCGCCGCGGCCCACCGGUGUAGCGGCGGGCGGGCGAUGCGGCGACGCUGGCCCUCCGCCGACGGCGUCCUCGCUCUGCUCCAUCUGCUUCUCGUCGAUUCAGGAACUUGUAUGCAUGGGAAAGGUCACAAGGACCAAGGCGGUGCAGCCGCCAGCCGGGAUGGAUGGAGACAAAUGGGGGACCUUAUCCUAUUCAAUCGCAUGUGCUUUCUUUCUGAGCUUCUGUUCCGAUUAAUUUACUCCCAUCGGAUACCCCUGUUAUUUUCUCCUUGGUCACACCCAAAAGAGGAAGUUUGAUGACUAUACUCCAGACUCCAAGAAGGCCCCAGUUGUGAUCUGCGAGUGUGUGGCUGUGUGGGCAACCUUGGCAAAUGAGUGGCCUCACGAACCGUGAACACGUGGUGCCCCAUGGGCCCGUGCUCUGCUCACCACCAUGGAAAAAGGGGGGCAUGGAUGGAGUAGUACCAACUUACUGGAUGCACCAUUAAUCCCUGCUUGGAUAACCUAGAGAAGAACACUGAUGAAGUAGCUUGGCUGCUAGGUAGCCUCCUAGCCUCGUCAACUUCUUGCUUCACGGGCAAGCGAGGUAAUAGUGGCACGUACGUGCUGCCGUUCCGUGCCUUGUGGCCUUUGCUAGCUUCUUUCACAGUUCGUGAUGCAGUGAAGAGUGGGACCUACCUGGUAGUCUGUUAUAAUGCCUCAUUGACCACUCUUAUCUCACAUUUUCUUUUGUUGUGGCAUUAUAUUCUCCAAUUAACGGGCCGGGUUAUACGUAUCUUUGUUGAACCUUGGGUUUCGAUUACUAGAGUAAACCUUUCAAGCCGUUCUGGAACGCAAGAAUUCCCAAAGUGGGCUUAGCAUUGUGUUCAGUAGAGCUUUCAAGUUCAGGUGGUGACGCGCACCUAUACGGCCCCAGGUAGGCAGGCAGGUAUAAGCCGUACGUAUAGGCGGAUCGCUCACCAGCCCGUGUGUCGAGUUCAGGUCGUCCUUUGGUACGGGAGUGUCUGCUCCCUUACUCUACCUGCAGGUUAACUUUUUUCUAGACACAGUACAUGCACAAAACACACUUUGGUAGAGGAGUGUGCAUGCAUGACCCCACCCACCGCCAAUCAUGCUUAUGCCGGUGCCUCGUACAAGGCACGGGCCAUCAUUCUGUUCUGCAGACACGCACACGCUGGAAAGCAGCUCUGAAACUAGCAGAGCCUACCUAGACCACCGUUAUGGUAGAAGGUGCAUGCUUUUAAGCUGUGGCAGUAGACCAGAUGGCCUUGGUUUAUACGGUUGGUGGGUGAUUAGUUUCUUUCAAGAAUGCUUGCAUACGCACGAAGAUAAGGUCGUAAUAAAUACCCACGAAGAUGAAGUUGAUUUGUGUAAAUCAAACCUGAGAGUGAUUUGUGUGCCAUACGCGUGCAUCUCAGUCAGGAUUUGCAUAGUGUAGUGCAGCUGGGCAGCAAACUAUCAAGAAGUGUCGACCCUUGAAGCAUGGCUGGUUACUGUCUGAGUCAUACCUCCAAUCCAAUAGAAUCUUUUAUAACCUCGCUCCGUCCCAAAAAAAAUGCAACUCUCACUUCCCGAAAAAUCAAAUAAUUUUAAAUUUGACCAAAUUUAUAUAAAAAAAUUAGUAACAUUUGUAUCUCCAAAUA